GGUAUAGCGCAGUUGGUAGAGCGCCAGAUUGUGGCUCUGGAGGCCAAGGGUUCGAGUCCCUUUAC
rnacentral:tRNA from 1 species